AUUGAACGCUGGCGGAAUGCUUUACACAUGCAAGUCGAACGGCAGCACGGGAGCUUGCUCCUGGUGGCGAGUGGCGAACGGGUGAGUAAUGCGUCGGAACGUACCGAGUAAUGGGGGAUAACGCAGCGAAAGCUGUGCUAAUACCGCAUACGCCCUGAGGGGGAAAGUGGGGGAUCGCAAGACCUCACGUUAUUCGAGCGGCCGACGUCUGAUUAGCUAGUUGGUGGGGUAAUGGCCUACCAAGGCGACGAUCAGUAGCGGGUCUGAGAGGAUGAUCCGCCACACUGGAACUGAGACACGGUCCAGACUCCUACGGGAGGCAGCAGUGGGGAAUUUUGGACAAUGGGGGCAACCCUGAUCCAGCCAUUCCGCGUGAGUGAAGAAGGCCUUCGGGUUGUAAAGCUCUUUCAGCUGGAACGAAACGGUGCGCUCUAACAUAGCGUGCUAAUGACGGUACCAGCAGAAGAAGCACCGGCUAACUACGUGCCAGCAGCCGCGGUAAUACGUAGGGUGCGAGCGUUAAUCGGAAUUACUGGGCGUAAAGCGUGCGCAGGCGGAUUGUUAAGCAAGAUGUGAAAUCCCCGGGCUUAACCUGGGAAUGGCAUUUUGAACUGGCAGUCUAGAGUGCGUCAGAGGGGGGUGGAAUUCCACGUGUAGCAGUGAAAUGCGUAGAGAUGUGGAGGAACACCAAUGGCGAAGGCAGCCCCCUGGGAUGACACUGACGCUCAUGUACGAAAGCGUGGGUAGCAAACAGGAUUAGAUACCCUGGUAGUCCACGCCCUAAACGAUGUCAACUGGUUGUUGGGGGAGUGAAAUCCCUUAGUAACGAAGCUAACGCGUGAAGUUGACCGCCUGGGGAGUACGGUCGCAAGAUUAAAACUCAAAGGAAUUGACGGGGACCCGCACAAGCGGUGGAUGAUGUGGAUUAAUUCGAUGCAACGCGAAAAACCUUACCUACCCUUGACAUGUCCAGAACCCUGCAGAGAUGCGGGGGUGCCCGAAAGGGAAUUGGAACACAGGUGCUGCAUGGCUGUCGUCAGCUCGUGUCGUGAGAUGUUGGGUUAAGUCCCGCAACGAGCGCAACCCUCGCCCUUAGUUGCCAUCAUUCAGUUGGGCACUCUAAGGGGACUGCCGGUGAUAAGCCGCGAGGAAGGUGGGGAUGACGUCAAGUCCUCAUGGCCCUUACAGGCUGGGCUACACACGUGCUACAAUGGCGGUGACAAUGGGAGGCAAUGGGGCAACCCUGCGCAAAUCUCAAAAAGCCGUCUCAGUUCGGAUUGCACUCUGCAACUCGAGUGCAUGAAGUUGGAAUCGCUAGUAAUCGUGGAUCAGCAUGCCACGGUGAAUACGUUCCCGGGCCUUGUACACACCGCCCGUCACACCAUGGGAGUUGGUUUUACCUUAAGACGGUUUGCUAACCGCAAGGAGGCAGCCGGCCACGGUAAGGUCAGCGACUGGGGUG
rnacentral:rRNA from 1 species